UAGGGAAUCUUCGGCAAUGGACGAAAGUCUGACCGAGCAACGCCGCGUGAGUGAAGAAGGUUUUCGGAUCGUAAAACUCUGUUGUUAGAGAAGAACAAGGACGUUAGUAACUGAACGUCCCCUGACGGUAUCUAACCAGAAAGCCACGGCUAACUACGUGCCAGCAGCCGCGGUAAUACGUAGGUGACAAGCGUUGUCCGGAUUUAUUGGGCGUAAAGCGAGCGCAGGCGGUUUCUUAAGUCUGAUGUGAAAGCCCCCGGCUCAACCGGGGAGGGUCAUUGGAAACUGGGAGACUUGAGUGCAGAAGAGGAGAGUGGAAUUCCAUGUGUAGCGGUGAAAUGCGUAGAUACAUGGAGGAACACCAGUGGCGAAGGCGGCUCUCUGGUCUGUAACUGACGCUGAGGCUCGAAAGCGUGGGGAGCAAACAGG
rnacentral:rRNA from 1 species